UACGAAGGGGGCUAGCGUUGCUCGGAAUCACUGGGCGUAAAGGGUGCGUAGGCGGGGCUUUAAGUCAGGGGUGAAGUCCUGGAGCUCAACUCCAGAACUGCCUUUGAUACUGAAGAUCUUGAGUUCGGGAGAGGUGAGUGGAACUGCGAGUGUAGAGGUGAAAUUCGUAGAUAUUCGCAAGAACACCAGUGGCGAAGGCGGCUCACUGGCCCGAUACUGACGCUGAGGCACGAAAGCGUGGGGAGCAAACAGG
rnacentral:rRNA from 1 species